GUCGCCCAGGCUGGAGUGCAGUGGCCGGAUCUCAGCUCACUGCCAUGGAUUAAGAUGGCAGAGCCACAAGAUGGAAAUUGCCUGAAUCUCUGAGUAACAAGACAGAGAACCACAUGGAGAGGAGUUGCCCUGGAGAGUCCCCCAAUGUAUGUUGAACUUAGAGUGAAAGUAAAAUAAGCCUUUAUCGUGUUAACAUAAUAAAGGGAGAAUUAGUCAUUG